rnacentral:rRNA from 1 species
CCUGAGAAACCCAAAAGUUCGAAUGGAGAGAUUCAUCGUCAGCGAUCCUGGCAAUUGUGCGGUUCGCGAUGUCGGGGGCUUCGGUUCCGUGGCACGCGUCCGUAUGAUUUUUUUGCCGGGUGUCGUCGUCGUGCACUUCUCCCCUAGUAGGACGUCGCGACCCGUUGGGUGUCGGUCUACGACUCGGGUGGGAGCCUGUCAUGUGUUACGCCUCACGGCGUCAUGUGCAGACCCCCGGUUGUCCGACCAGCUGCCCGGCGGUACUCGCACGGUAUCGAGUCGCAAUUUGAACUGCGUCCGGCCCGCCGCAAGCGAGGCCAGUGUUUCCCGGAUGUACGGACUUGGCGCCGUCACCGGGCCUGGCCAGCUGUUGGCCGGCGGUGUCCUGGGACUGGCUCUAAAUACCGGUCGGCGACGCUACUGCUUUGGGUACUUUCAGGACCCGUCUUGAAACACGGACCAAGGAGUCUAACAUGUGCGCGAGUCAUUGGGAUCUGUUAAGCCUAAAGGCGCAAUGAAAGUGAAGGUAGGCCUUGCGCCAACCGAGGGAGGAUGGGUCGCGUCACGAUGCGGUCCCGCACUCCCGGGGCGUCUCGUUCUCAUUGCGAGAAGAGGCGCACCCAGAGCGUACACGUUGGGACCCGAAAGAUGUG